rnacentral:rRNA from 1 species
UACAGAGGUGGCAAGCGUUGUUCGGAUUUACUGGGCGUAAAGGGUCCGUAGGCGGUUCGGUUAGUCAAAUGUGAAAGCCCACAGCUCAACUGUGGAACUGCAUUUGAAACUGCCGAGCUAGAGUAUGAGAGGGGUUAAGGGAAUUCCCGGUGUAAGGGUGAAAUCUGCAGAGAUCGGGAGGAACACCAGUCGCGAAGGCGCUUAACUGGCUCAUUACUGACGCUCAGGGACGAAAGCUAGGG